ensembl:lncRNA
AGAGGAGCGUGUUGGACUCCCAGCCAAACAAAAGGGCUGCCCGCAACUUGCCUAAAAUAGAAAGUAAAAGUUAGCCACAGCCUGGCGCCUGGCAGGCCCCUCUUCGGAGCCCUCUGUGGAGCAGCGAGGACCUCGGCAGGAUGCUGUCCCAGAGCCUCUCUGGAGAAGUACAUAAGCUCCGGAGGCAGUAAAAGCAGAAGCUCAAGCCCCCUGACUCCGCUUCCCACCUGAGAGGCGCAGGUUUGCCCAUCAAAUUCACCUGACACGGGAGUGGCUUUGCUUUGUUCUGCUGCAGAAAUUCAAAUCGCAAACGUUUUGGUUCUUUUUAAAGAUCGUUGGAGAAUGGUACAUAUUACAAGAGCUUUAUUUAAUGGAGGAGUUAUUGGCGAGGUAAUAAACUGCUAAUUUGGGGUCAAGCCUUGCCUGCGAACUGUGAAGGACUUGGAUUCAAAUCCCAGCUUUGCCACUUCCUGUCCGUGUGCCCUCAGCCUCUCCGAGCUCCGGGUCAAACGGCGAGGGUAAUUCCUGUCAUCCUGGUGUGGUGUGAGGAUCAGCAAUCCGGGUGAGGAAGGGCCGGCCUGCACGUAGGCAGGGCUUAGGGACCUCCGCUUCCAUCCCGCUCUGGCCAAGAGAAGGCAGGUGGCUCGCUGCACCUCGCCAGCUCACCUGAGAGGCUGGCAAAGGGAGGGAGGGGGAAGGAGGCAGUGAGAGAAGAAAGGAGAGGGUGGGGGUAGGAAGGAAAGGAAACCCCCAAGCAGGUUCUAAUCCUCACAUAGCGUCUUAUUAAUGUUCCUCACGGAAUUUGCACCCCAACUGCCCGGCUGACCGUAACACGGAUGCCCGCAUCCCCUCGUGCGCUCGCAAACGGUUCACACGAAACCGACACGGCAAAGUCACGCCCUCGCGCUGAAGCCGACUUUCCGAUUUUGAAAGCUUGUCUCUCCCAUAUAAAAGGCUUUGUUUUUUCUUUUCGCGCGCUUCUGCCUCCCCCGGCCGGCCCUCCCGCCCCUCCCUCACGGCGCGCACACAAAAGAAGCCCGGAGCGGAGGUACCGGAACCUGCGGGCUUGUUUACCACUCGGGCGGCCGGCGAGGCGCUGCCCGGCGCCGCCACCUACCGGCGGGAGACGGCGCUGCGCCCGGGCGCGGGCCAAGCGCUGCGGGCCGAUGACCCAACGCCGCAGAAUGCCACCCAGAAGGCUGGGCAAGUCAGGAGACCUCACUGGCUGGUCUGCGGACCUCUUGCGAAGGUCUCCGGGGGCCCGGGGCCGGAAGGCAAUGGCUGCCCCUUCUCACUGCCUCCUCCCAAACGCAGGUCCUGCCCACUGAUGAUGGUCAUUUGGUAGAUACCAAUUGAGCAACUACUGUGCGCCGGACCUGGGAAUACAAAGAUGAGAGAACCAGCCUGGAUUCUUGCCCACCAAGGAGACGCCUGCCUCUCCAGCUUGUUGACUCAAUGAUCUCAAAAGCCUUCAUUGGAGUCUCAAUUUCCUCACCUGUGAAGGUGGGCAUACCAACAGUUUCUACACAGCAAGACCGUGUGAAGAUUAGAUGAGCUCAUGCACAUAGAUGACUGGGACCUUAGCUUCUUCCAUGCCCCUGGGCAGGGGUAACAUUCAAAAUAUUAAAUAACCUGGAAGGCAC